CAACAAAGUGCAACUGGUUCAGAAUGGUAUCUUAACAUUUUAUGUUCGUCUUUUACAAGAAGAAAAUCUAUAUAUAAACAAUCCCCUUUCUGAAGAGGAAAUUCUUUUAGUUAUAAAUGGACUUUGGGCACUUUCUUUCAAUGGCAAGAACAAAGCAUUAAUUCAAAAGGAAGCAGGAUGUCUUGAAGCUUUGCACCGAGUUAUCACACAUGGAAGUGAAGCAUCACGUCAUGCUGGCCGUGGCAUCUUCUGGGAACUGCAAUCAAGUAACGUGUAUGUUCCAUGUACCCCAGACAACUUGUCUAUUCCUCAUAUUAUGAUUAGUUA